UUCAUAUCGACUAGUUAUAUGACAUGUCUUUUUUCCUAUAUGACGAUCGUAUGAUGGAUCGGUAAUAGUUUGCAUGAAUAUGUCUUGAGUGCCUAACGUUAUUACUAAAUGGUCUGCGCAGCUGCUUUCCGGCCGGGCACCUAUCAAGACAAGAGUGCACAACGCCAUGGAUGUUGCCCUGCACCUCCACAGCAUCUACAGGAUGAUGUCUAUUUAUGUCACGCAAGCAAAGAAAGAUAUUGAAAGCCAGGUGGAAAGCUGGACGCACACCCACCUGGAGCAAAUAGUCAGAGGUUAUAUAAUGAUGAGUGACCUUUGUGUGUCAGAGAAGUUGCUAAUUCUAAAUUCGUUUUUUGGGUCUAGACGCUCAUGAUCUUGGAUGAAGCGCACCUGGAAAGAAUAAGCUGUAUGGCUAUCUUGCAUAGUUGAUCCCUUAUGGACUUUAUAUGGAGCCGACAUCUUCAAACAAGGGGCCUGCUACGCAUCUAUCGGCGUAUGUUUACUAAACAUUCAUCACUUGAAGGGCCGUCCCAUCUACGCGUAGCCAUCCGAUCUGCUCCGGCCAGGCAUCUUAUAAUUCCUGAAAUGAUGGCUG
rnacentral:lncRNA from 1 species